UUCGGUUUAGUUUAUAAAAAUGUUGUUUUGUGGAGACAAAGAUAGGGUAAUCUUAGCCGAAA
rnacentral:tRNA from 1 species